CUACAUUUCGUGCCAACACCAGCGGCGACAGGCGGAAGGCUUUUGCUAGGCACACGGUCAUGUAAGCCUGUAACAUGCGUUUGGCGUGUGCUAUCGUGAUUUACUCUGUGUGAUGGCUCUUUCUCGUUUGCACGGCCGAUACAACUUGCUGAGAAGCUGGCAAGCCCAUUCGUCUUCAAGAGUGGCCAUAGCUCUGCGGUGCCAGCCUCGCUCGUCUUAUCUUUCUUGGCGUGGCCCCAAAAUGGAUGCUACGCGAGUUUGGGGGUGGGCUGGGCGGCGGAUGCCUCAGAGACCACCAAAGUGACGCAUGCGUUUUACCAUGCGCACUGCGCCGCCGACAAGUGGUGUCGUGUGCGUGUUUCUGUCACGCGUCGACGGUAGAGCUUGGCAGGAGCGGUGUGCUUCACGUAGCGUUCGCGAUGUUUCUUUUUCUCAGAGGAUCGAACACGUGCGCACCACAGCGCCGAAUGCCGAGAUGAGAUCACGUGAUUCCGUUGCAGAGCUGCUCCGUUUCCUCGAUGCGGUGUCUCGCUGACUGUGCAUCGGCCCCGCCUCGAUGACGCCCACUGUCCUCUCCGCUGCCGCAUCGCCACUCUCGCGCUCACACCGCAUCUCCUGCCUCUGUCCUGUAUCUCCGCGUAUAAACACUGCACGCGGCACCGGACAUGUCUCAG
rnacentral:misc_RNA from 1 species